GGAGGAGGCCCGCUGGAAAUGGGGGAAGCACGCGUGCUGGAAAGAGGGGGAGGAGGCCCGCCAGAGAGCCGAGAGGACGCCGCCAAAACAGGGCAGUGUGGAGGAGCACACCCACCAGAAGUGGAGAGCAUGUCCAGAAAGAAGGAGCACUUCAGGAAGCCACGGGACUUACAGGGGAAGAAGAAUUCACAAGGAUAACACGACAGUCACCCUAUAUAGCAAUGGUCCAGUCACUGGUCACCUUCCAGAAACAGGGCCCCCAUGACCAGCGAGAGGCGGGAUGCCCAGCAAAGCCACAACGCGUCUCGCCCGCUCAUUCCCCAUCACCGCUCAGCUCACGGGCCAGGGGACAGUUAGGAACUGUGGGUUCUGAGGUCUCAGAGCAAGAGACAACCGCCUAAGAGCAAAUAGAAGUCUCAGGAAACAGAAGCAGAUUCUGUCAAAAGUCUGUUGAAGUGUCUUUGACACCACCAGACAUUAAGGACCUUUGUGUUUUUAUUUUUAUGUAUUUUCUUUUCAGAUAUUAUUUUAGGUUCAGGGGUUAAAUGUGUGGGCUUGUUGCAUGGGAAUUAGGUAUACAGAUAAUUUUGUCACCCAGGUAAGAGCACAGUACCCGUAGUUUCUCUAUCUUCUCCCUCCUCCCACCCUCCACCCUCAAGUAAUCCUCAGGGUCUGUUGUUCCCUUCUUUGCAUCCAUCUGUACUCAUCAUUUAGCUACCACUUGUAAGUGAGAACGUGCAGUAUUUGGUUUUUCCUUCCUGUGUUAUUCACUUAGGAUAAUGGCCUCCACCUCCAUCCACGUUGUUGCAAAAGACAGGAUUUCACUCUUUUUAUGGCUGCAUAGUAUUCCAUGGUGUAUAUGUACUGUAUGUUCUUUAUCCAAUCCACCAUCCAUGGGCAUUUAAGUGGAUUCCAAGUCCCUGCUAUUGUGAAUGGUGCUACGAUUAAGGCAAGCGUGCAUCUGUCUUUUUUUUUUUUUUUGAGACAGUCUCGCUAUGUCACCCAGGCUGGAGUGCAGUGGCAUGAUCUCGGCUCACUGCAAGCUCCACCUCCCGGGUUCACGCCAUUCUCCUGCCUCAGCCUCCCAAGUAGCCGGGACUACAGGUGCCCACCACCAUGCCCGACUAAUUUUUUUGUAUUUCUAGUGGAGACGGGGUUUCACCGUGUUAGCCAGGGUGGUCUCGAUCUCCUGACCUCGUGAUCUGCCUGCCUCAGCCUCCCAAAGUGAUGGGAUUACAGGCCUGAGCCACCGCGCCUGGCUUUUUUUUUUUUUUUUUUGGGACGGAAUUUCACUCGUUGCCCAGGCUGGAGUGCAAUGGCGCAACCUUGGCUCAGUGUAACCUCCACUUCCCGGGUUGAAGCCAUUCUCCUGCCUCACCCUCCCGAGUAGCUGGGACUACAUGUACCCACCACCACGCCCAGCUAAUUUUCUGUACUUUUAGUAGAGAUGGGGUUUCACCAUGUUGGCCAGGCUGGUCUCAAACUCCCGGCCUCAGGUGAGCCAUCCACCUCGGCCUCCCAAAGUACUGGGAUUGCAGGUGUGAGCCACUGCCCGCGUCUGCAUGUGUCUUUUUGGUAGAUGGACUUAUAUUCCGUUGGGUAUAUACCCAGUAAUGGGAUUGCUGGGUCAAAUGGUAGCUCUGUUUUAAAUUAUUUGAGAAAUUUCUAAUCUGCUUUCCAUAGCAAACUGAACAGUUUGCAUUCCCACCAGCAGUGUACACGUGUACCCUUUUCUCCAUAACCUCCCCAGCAUGUCAUUUUUUGGCUUUUUAAUAACAGGUCUUCCGACUGGUAUAAGAUGGUAUCUCAUUGUGGUUAUGAUUUGCAUUUCUCUGUUGAGCAUUUUUUCUUAUGUGUGUUGGCCUCAUCUUUUGAGAAUUGUCUGUUUGUGACCUCUGCCUGUUUAUUUCUCCUUCUAAAUAUGAGAAGUAGUUUGGAGCAGAUAAGGGUGCAGAAUGAGGCCUCAAGCAAGGGUCAGCACAGGGUCCCUGGUGGUGAAGUGGGUCCCGCAGUAUCUGUGACAGCUGCUGUACCCUCCCAUCAGCUCCUGGGCAUAACCUAUCUGAUGUGCAUUUCUCCUGGCUUCCAGGCACUUUUUUUUUUUAAAUAAAAUAUUCUUAGUCCCCCCUUCAUGGUCCUUGUAGAAUUUUGUCCUUGUGGCCUGGGCUCUCCCCCGGUAUAUUUUGCUGACUUUUUCUUGUGAUUUCUCAGAGUUUUAUACUUGGUUCAGUCCUGUCUUUACUUCUUAAAACUUUGAAUCUUUUAGGUAAAGAGAUGCAGAACAUUCUGCUGCAUGCCCUUUGCUCCGGGU
rnacentral:lncRNA from 10 species